rnacentral:rRNA from 1 species
UACGUAGGGUCCGAGCGUUGUCCGGAAUUACUGGGCGUAAAGAGCUCGUAGGUGGUUUGUCGCGUUGUUCGUGAAAACUCACAGCUCAACUGUGGGCGUGCGGGCGAUACGGGCAGACUUGAGUACUGCAGGGGAGACUGGAAUUCCUGGUGUAGCGGUGGAAUGCGCAGAUAUCAGGAAGAACACCAAUGGCGAAGGCAGCUCUCUGGGACGGUACUGGACGCUGAGGAGCGAAAGCGUGGGGAGCAAACAGG